UACAGAGGUCCCGAGCGUUGUUCGGAUUCACUGGGCGUAAAGGGUGCGCAGGUGGGUUGGCAAGUUUGAUGUGAAAGCCCCGGGCUUAACCCGGGAAAGGCAUUGAAUACUGCUGAUCUGGAGGAUCGGAGGGGGGACUGGAAUUCUUGGUGUAGCAGUGAAAUGCGUAGAUAUCAAGAGGAACACCAGUGGCGAAGGCGAGUCCCUGGACGAUACCUGACACUGAGGCACGAAAGCCAAGGGAGCAAACAGG
rnacentral:rRNA from 1 species